rnacentral:rRNA from 1 species
AUUGAACGCUGGCGGCAGGCCUAACACAUGCAAGUCGAACGGUAACAGGAAGAAGCUUGCUUCUUUGCUGACGAGUGGCGGACGGGUGAGUAAUGUCUGGGAAACUGCCUGAUGGAGGGGGAUAACUACUGGAAACGGUAGCUAAUACCGCAUAACGUCGCAAGACCAAAGAGGGGGACCUUCGGGCCUCUUGCCAUCGGAUGUGCCCAGAUGGGAUUAGCUAGUAGGUGGGGUAACGGCUCACCUAGGCGACGAUCCCUAGCUGGUCUGAGAGGAUGACCAGCCACACUGGAACUGAGACACGGUCCAGACUCCUACGGGAGGCAGCAGUGGGGAAUAUUGCACAAUGGGCGCAAGUCUGAUGCAGCCAUGCCGCGUGUAUGAAGAAGGCCUUCGGGUUGUAAAGUACUUUCAGCGGGGAGGAAGGGAGUAAAGUUAAUACCUUUGCUCAUUGACGUUACCCGCAGAAGAAGCACCGGCUAACUCCGUG